AAGAAGAGGAAACCGGUGAAGAAAGCUUCAGCAAAGGUGACUGAAGUUAGUAUGAUGACUCGGGGGAGAAAGAGAAAAGAGAACAAUGACGAAGUGUGUGCUAAGAACAAAAGACCUUUCAAGAAAACGGCUGGAAAGUCUAAGUAGACAGACAAGGGGGACAAAGAAAAGAUGACAAUGAAGCCACUUUCUGUUUGCCAUUAUUCUAUCGAAUUGUUGGUCACAAGUGUUAUACAUUCACUUUUUUACUUCAUCGACAAAGUCAGGUGCACCGAAGCCCCCACACUCGUCGGCAAAGAAGGUAUACAUAUAUCAUUGAACCCGUACAUCAACUCGUGUACAAAUCUCGCUUAUUGUUAGAUUCAAAUAAAGUCAGGUGCACAUGACGCCUCUUAUGUAGAUCAGUCCCGAUUUCCUCCUGUUUACAUUAAUCAAAUCAUUACAUCAGCCUUGCACGUCUUAAAUUAAGAAGCCAAAUAAACAGCCUAAAUGAUUAGCUUAAUUAUUUCUUCACAAUAAAUCUCUUAUUUUUGUUGCCUUGUCACUGAAAAUAAUCUUUGCACA